GGGGGGGGGGGGGGGGGGGGGGGGGGGGGGGGGGGGGGGGGGCGGGGGGGGAGGUGGGUGCGCUGGGGGGAGGGGCGGGGGGGGGGGUGGCGCGUGGGUAGCCUACCUAUCAGACGGGGGGAGCUUCGGGAGACCGGGGGUGAUCACGGGUCAUAUGUUGUACCGCAUGGUUCAAUAGUGAAAGACGGUGUUGCUGUCGCUUGUAGAGUGGGCGGCGCCGCAGUAGGUAGUUUGUAAGGGAACGGCUUACCAAGGCAACGAGGCGUAGACGACCUUGGAGGGUGAUCGGGCACACUGGAACUGAGACACGCGCCAGACUCCUACGGGAGGCAGCAGUAGGGAAUCUUCCGCAAUGGGCGAAAGCCUGACGGAGCAACGCCGCGUGAGUGAUGAAGGUCUUCGGAUCGUAAAACUCUGUGAUGAGGGAAGAACAAAUGUGUAAGUAACUAUGCACGUCUUGACGGUACCUAAUCAGAAAGCCACGGCUAACUACGUG
rnacentral:rRNA from 1 species